CUGCAGGUGUGACUGAGUCACGGCAGGGAAUCGUCGAGCGCCCUCAUGACCCGCAGGAGGGCGGACUCGGGAGACGAGGCUAAUCGGAUCAGACACCGACCGGCAAAUCGCACCUACUCAUUUUUUGUUUGUUUUUUCCAGGGAGAUGGGGGAUGGGUGUUGUAAAUUGCCAGACGUGCUAUUUGAAGCCCCCCCGCCUCUUUUUUGAGUACUCAAGUACAACAUGUGACCGCUUUGGCUACUUUUCACACGCGUAAUCGCUAGCUAGCUACAAUCACAAGAAUGCAAAGACGUAACAGCGACAAAGACACAACUUGCCCGCGAGGACCGUGAGAACGCGCUUCAAGAUGACAUCAGGUUGGCCCCUCUGGGUCAGGAGGUGGGAGUCUUUAUAGCGGCGCAUGCGGGUGCCUCGGAAACUUCACAUCCUCCGUUGGAGGAAGAUGCAAGAUGUGCUAGCGCAGAUAAGAACUUCGACGGAGUCAAUCUUCGGCGCGCAUAACUUUCAAGGUCAACCAUUUCCUCUCAGCUCUUCAGCAGAACCUUAAGAAGUGCUCUCACGUUGCAGCUGCGCCGGGAGCGUUAACAGCAACAAGGCAAGGUGAGGAGGAAGAGCCCCGAUUUGCCGUCACCGUGCCGCCGCGCAGGUGAGCCGCCGC